AGUUUCCCCUGCCCAAGGCCAACUGCAAGCCAAGAAGAGAAAUCCCCAUGAGCAAAUGAUAUGCAAAAGGGCAACAAUAAAGAAUUUCUCAAGUUCUCCUGUAGACUGAAGUGACUGGGGGACACUCACAGGCCCAGAGAGAUGAGAAGAUGACGGCCUCCAGCAGUGACAUCCUGUGGGCCAGGCUGGCUCCCCAGGGACAAGCGCCUGGAUCCACAGGAUUGGAAAUCUUGUGCCCAGAAAGAAAUGCUUUUGUCAGGUAACAUGGUGAUGGUUCUUUGGACUUCAGUUUCUAUUGGCCAACAUUGGAUAGAAAUCGGAGCAAAGAUGUCCAUUAGUGGAAUCCACAGGGGUGAAGAUACAUGAGGUUGACUUCCAGCAACCUUCCAUGAAAGCUAGAAGACUACGUUUUCACACAAUAAAAGUACCAAUCGACUUGAUGGAAACUAUGGUUGUGUGCGAUUCUGCUGGAGACCAUCUCAUUCUUGCAUCUGCAUGUGGGAAAAAGAUACAUAGAGAAAACAAGGAAGUUACCGCACAGUGUUACUAAGAAGACUGAGUAUUUGUGCCACUCUCCAUAGUACUUGGUACUGUCCUACUCAGGGGAAAAGACACACUCAGCCCAAGCACCUACUCUGAGCUCUCCAAGCAUGACCCUUGUCUCUGACUUGGAGUCCAUGGGAAUCAGGAAAGAAAAUAAGAUUUUUUAGUGAAAGAAGCAAAGGUUGUUUGAGAAGAGGGGAGAAACGUGAUCAAGACAGAGCCAGUUACAGGUCUUUCUAACCAUCACAUUUCACCUGCUGUGUCUAAGUGCUCAGUAAUAUGCAGAGAUCUUAAUAUUAAAAACUACCUGCGGGUUCCCUGGGCGGUUGAGUCUGUUAAGCCGCGAACUCUUGGUUUCGGUUCAGGUCAUGGUCUCACAGCUAUGGGAUCGAGCCCCACUGCUGGCUCUACGCUGAGGGCGGAGCCUGCUUGGAUUCUCUCUCUCUCUUUCUCUCCCUCUGUCCCUCCCCCGCUUAUGCAUGCACUCUCUCUCCUUCAAAGUAAAUAAAUAAACUUUGGAAAACAAGCAAGCAAAAAAACAAAAACAAAAACAAAAAACACCUAAGUGAAUCUCUCUCUCUCUUUUUGUUUAAUUGAUGUCUGUGCUAGGCCUUGACCGGGGACUCCCACAGCGGGUACAGCUGGCUCCUUCGCUGCUGCUGCUGCCUGAGCCUCAGGUUUUCCUUGUACUUGUUCAGCAGGCGGAGCAUGGCCCAUGUCUUCUUGGGCCGCAGAUCUAAGGGCUUGUACUUCUUAGCCUGGAGAAUCUCCUGAGGUUCUCUGGUUGAUGAGGGUGAGAACAGGGCAUGAUCUCACAGCUCGUGGGUUCGAGCCCCACAUCGGGCUCUGUGCUGACAGCUCAGAGCCUGGAGCCUGCUUCGGAUUCUGGGUCUCCCUCUCUCUUUCUCUGCCCUUCCCUCGCUCACACUCUGUCUCUCUCGCUCUCAAAAAAUAAAUAAACAUUAAAAAAAAAAAAAAAAAAGAAGAAAAGAAAAGAAAAAACUAUCCUGAGCUCAAUGUGGAGAGGUGACCUCUCCAAAGCUGGUCCUUUCCUCUGCUCCGGGCUGUGUCCCCAAGCCCAUUCUCGUGGCUGAACAUAAAAAGCACCCAACACAAAACAGUCAACCUGAAUAUCCAGGUGCGCCUGGCAAUCUUCACAAUUUUGAUUUUUCUAGAUGAUUCUGAGGUAACAGACAUCACUUUUCCCAUAGUACUAGAGUGUGGGCACAGUUGGUAAUGGAUAAUAUAACUAUGAAAAUUGUGAUAUUUAAGAUGUCCUUAGACUUAAUCAGCCUUGAUAUGAUAAUAUAACGUUGGUCGGACUAUUCAAAGUCUUUGUGUCUCACCCACCUCAGGAAUGAAACAAAUGAGCUGAGCCCAAAUUCUCGGGACAUUUUGAGCUCCAUCCGUGCAAAAUCCCCUACUCUGGAGAUAACGUGGGCCCCUCAGUAAUACUCAAAAUAUCAAUCUCCCUUCAACAGA